GACGAACGCUGGCGGCGUGCUUAACACAUGCAAGUCGAACGGAAAGGCCUCAGCUUGCUGGGGUACUCGAGUGGCGAACGGGUGAGUAACACGUGGGUGAUCUGCCUUGCACUCUGGGAUAAGCUUGGGAAACUGGGUCUAAUACCGGAUAUGAACUGCCUUUAGUGUGGUGGUUGGAAAGUUUUUUCGGUGCAAGAUGAGCUCGCGGCCUAUCAGCUUGUUGGUGGGGUAAUGGCCUACCAAGGCGUCGACGGGUAGCCGGCCUGAGAGGGUGUACGGCCACAUUGGGACUGAGAUACGGCCCAGACUCCUACGGGAGGCAGCAGUGGGGAAUAUUGCACAAUGGGCGGAAGCCUGAUGCAGCGACGCCGCGUGGGGGAUGACGGCCUUUGGGUUGUAAACUCCUUUCGACAGGGACGAAGCUUUUUGUGACGGUACCUGUAUAAGAAGCACCGGCUAACUACGUG
rnacentral:rRNA from 1 species